UCCAACAUAUUAAGGAAUAGGGG
rnacentral:piRNA from 1 species